GUAGGGAAUCUUCCGCAAUGGGCGAAAGCCUGACGGAGCAAUGCCGCGUGAGUGAAGAAGGCCUUCGGGUCGUAAAACUCUGUUAUAAGAGAAGAACAAAUUGUAGAGUAACUGCUACAGUCUUGACGGUAUCUUAUCAGAAAGCCACGGCUAACUACGUGCCAGCAGCCGCGGUAAUACGUAGGUGGCAAGCGUUGUCCGGAUUUAUUGGGCGUAAAGGGAGCGCAGGUGGUUUCUUAAGUCUGAUGUGAAAGCCCACGGCUUAACCGUGGAGGGUCAUUGGAAACUGGGAAACUUGAGUACAGAAGAGGAAUGUGGAACUCCAUGUGUAGCGGUGGAAUGCGUAGAUAUAUGGAAGAACACCAGUGGCGAAGGCGACAUUCUGGUCUGUUACUGACACUGAGGCUCGAAAGCGUGGGGAGCAAACAGGA
rnacentral:rRNA from 1 species